rnacentral:rRNA from 1 species
GAUGAACGCUGGCGGCGUGCCUAAUACAUGCAAGUCGAGCGAACAGACGAGGAGCUUGCUCCUCUGACGUUAGCGGCGGACGGGUGAGUAACACGUGGAUAACCUACCUAUAAGACUGGGAUAACUUCGGGAAACCGGAGCUAAUACCGGAUAAUAUAUUGAACCGCAUGGUUCAAUAGUGAAAGACGGUUUUGCUGUCACUUAUAGAUGGAUCCGCGCCGCAUUAGCUAGUUGGUAAGGUAACGGCUUACCAAGGCAACGAUGCGUAGCCGACCUGAGAGGGUGAUCGGCCACACUGGAACUGAGACACGGUCCAGACUCCUAUGGGAGGCAGCAGUAGGGAAUCUUCCGCAACGGGCGAAAGCCUGACGGAGCAACGCCGCGUGAGUGAUGAAGGUCUUCGGAUCGUAAAACUCUGUUAUUAGGGAAGAACAAAUGUGUAAGUAACUAUGCACGUCUUGACGGUACCUAAUCAGAAAGCCACGGCUAACUACGUG